rnacentral:lncRNA from 1 species
UUUACUCCACUAAAUUUAAAAGUUUGGGUAAGUCCGGCCAAAAUUUAAUGCAGUAAAUUUACUCCACUAAGGCUAACUCGAUGGUUUACUCUAUUUUUUAUGGGAUCGGCUAGACCGCUAGAGAUGCCCAAAGCUACCUCAUGUAGGACUAUUACACUUGCUGUUCUUUUUUUUUCUUUUUUUUUCUUUUUUUUUUUGCGGAUAGUACUCUUGCUUUUGCACAUACAUAGCUUGGAAACUAACCAAGCACGCUACGUAUUAAUCAUCUGGCCGCCUUGAUAGACUUGGUAAUCCAGACAAAAUAACUGGACACAAGCUAACUCAAGAUUAUGCUAACAGAUGCAAGACUGGCGCUGCCGUGGCAUGCAAGACUGUAGCUGGCAUCAGUAGGUCUUGAUGUCUACUUCGCAAGCAGAAGCUGGGAGACCUGGAUCCAAAGUCUGACAGUGUGAGAGCCAUUGAAAUGUGCAUUCUCAACCGAGCCCAUAAGGGUUAUUUGCUUCUUGGAGAAGCCUUGCCGAUGCCUCCCAUUCUUAAAACUCUCGGUAGUUGAGAAAUGCCAUGCAGUCUUCUGAGUGUGUUGACUGCCACUAGGCAAAUCGUCUGUCACUGCUUCGCUUCUCUACCACUUGAUGAAACAGUCUUUCAUCCCAUUUUAUUAAUAAAGCAACACCCGACAAGUACACCAGCUGAUUCACUUCAUUGCAUAUCCAUUGGGAUGUAAGCUCAAAUUAAACACUAGGUACGUAUGUACCGCAUAUAAACCAGACUACCAGAGGAUAAACAUUGUUCAUAUGUUGGACAGUAACAUGCUGGACUUAAUGCAUACGGAGUACAAGACAACCUGCUCUGCUUACUGUGCCGUGGUGGCCCUUGAGCUACUCUUUAUAGCCAGGGACAAGCUAGUGAGUACUUUGAAUGUACUCGCAAACAUCAUGAUAUUACACAUAAAAUAGCUGGUGGUUAAUAUGCACUUGAAAUGAUUCGAUGAUAUUCCGUUAGUCACAAUCCAACUUCUUAAGUGUAGGCAAACAGAUAUUUUAACCAUACUGAAAAUUUUAAUAAGCAAUCAAUGAAAUAAGUAUUUAUUGGAACAUCGGGCAGUAGUUCUCUCGAAUAUUUCAAAGAACAGGAAAAUAGUCCAAUCGGAUGUGUGGAGCAACGCCUUGAAAAGAUAAGAUAUAAAGCAUACCUCAGUCGGGCAUCUUAGCGACACCAUAUAAAGGGUUUAUAUGAAAUAAUAACAAGC